rnacentral:rRNA from 1 species
CGUAGGGCAAGCGUUGUCCGGAAUUAUUGGGCGUAAAGCGCGCGCAGGCGGUUAAUUAAGUUGGGUGUUUAAGCCCGGGGCUCAACCCCGGUUCGCAUCCAAAACUGGUUGACUUGAGUGUAGGAGAGGAAAGUGGAAUUCCACGUGUAGCGGUGAAAUGCGUAGAGAUGUGGAGGAACACCAGUGGCGAAGGCGACUUUCUGGCCUAUAACUGACGCUGAGGCGCGAAAGCGUGGGGAGCAAACAGGAUU